CCUAGGUGACACUGGGCCAGGCACUGUGAAUAUACUAGAAAUCCAAGAAAGAAGAUUUAAAGCCCAUCUUCCAUUUUACAGAUGGAAACAGGACAGCCCAGAGAUGCUAACAAGCUCAUUUAAGAGUGCCUGUUGUUAUGUAUUUACCAGCACACCAUUGGGCAGAUUGCCUUAGGCUGAGGAGUGACCAGAGACCAGAUUGAACUCUUUGGAAAGAUUCCCAGAAGAGGGAGGGAAUCACCGAUGGAAAGAAGCUUCCAUCAGUGGAGGGACUAGGGGUGGUAAAUAAAAAUGUUUGAAUGCCACUGUUCAGCAGCUACAGACAAUCGCCAGGCCUGAUAUUCCAAGUCUGGAGGAGAGAGUGACCGCUGAGGAAGAGCAGGGUGAAGCUUGAAGACCCGAUGCCAGGCCCCAUGAAGCAGAAUGUCAGAAGCAGCUGUGGCUCCUGCCCCUAGGAGCGGUGCCGUCAACCCGCACCAGCCCCAGGACCGGGGCCUCAGCACGGGAGGGGGGCCGGCAGUGAGGGCCUUGCUCAUGGUGGCGAGUGCCCAGAGAGGGGAGGAGGGGAGGCCCCCGUGUCCUUGGCCCCACACAGUCGAGGGGAGGCUGAGGGCAGAAUGACCCACUUUCAGAGCAGCGUGGCUGUGACUGGGAUUGCUUCACAUGGUCAGUCUGCGUAUACAUGUCCGUCUUAAACUCUUCAAAACAGGCUGUUAAACAUCUGUAUCCUGUUUUCAUUAGCUUGUAAGCCAUGGUGAUGGGGACCUGCCUAGUUCUCUGAGCCAACAAGUGUGCCCAGAGGCUAAUAAACAGCAGGUGCCUCCAAUAAAUCUGAUUUUAAUACUCAGUGUAAA